ACGAUAUGCUUUGGGGAGCUGUAAGUAAGCUUUGAUCCAGAGAUUUCCGAAUGGGGAAACCCAGCAUGAGUUAUGUCAUGUUAUCGAUAUGUGAAUACAUAGCAUAUCAGAAGGCACACCCGGAGAACUGAAACAUCUUAGUACCCGGAGGAAGAGAAAGAAAAUUCGAUUCCCUUAGUAGCGGCGAGCGAAACGGGAAGAGCCCAAACCAACAAGCUUGCUUGUUGGGGUUGUAGGACACUCUAUACGGAGUUACAAAGGACGACAUUAGACGAAUCAUCUGGAAAGAUGAAUCAAAGAAGGUAAUAAUCCUGUAGUCGAAAAUGUUGUCUCUCUUGAGUGGAUCCUGAGUACGACGGAGCACGUGAAAUUCCGUCGGAAUCUGGGAGGACCAUCUCCUAAGGCUAAAUACUCUCUAGUGACCGAUAGUGAACCAGUACCGUGAGGGAAAGGUGAAAAGCACCCCGGAAGGGGAGUGAAAUAGAACCUGAAACCGUGUGCUUACAAGUAGUCAGAGCCCGUUAAUG
rnacentral:rRNA from 1 species